CUUUCAACAACGGAUCUCUUGGUUCUGGCAUCGAUGAAGAACGCAGCAAAAUGCGAUAAGUAAUGUGAAUUGCAGAAUUCAGCGAAUCAUCGAAUCUUUGAACGCACAUUGCGCCCCCUGGCAUUCCGGGGGGCAUGUCUGUCCGAGCGUCG
rnacentral:rRNA from 7 species